GGGAGAACUGUCGAAAAACUUAACUGAUCAAGUUAAUUUAUUUUUAUACGCUUGAGUAUGAUUUAAAACUAGGUUCUAUCGAAGAUAGCGGUCUAAUUUAUUACCGUAUCACGAUAAAUUUAUAAAUAAAAUACAUUGGUAUUUUUUUUAUUAAUUAAUAAUAAACUAAAAUAAAAAAUGAGAUUAUGAGGCGUACACUUUUGGAUUUUCCAAACUUUCUGAGUAAUAUGAAGGAUUACGACUGCUCUAACUCUCAUUAUGAAGUAAAUUAAGGUGAGCUGGCUAUACCCCCAAAACCCAGUACCAUAUCUACAAUCCUACCAAUUCUAUUAAACAGGAGAAAUAGUCUUUUCAGUAGUGGGAUAUAGUGGGAUAUUACAAUACCUAUCAAUUAUUAGGUUGGUUUAACAGAGUACAAUAUAUUUGCGAUGAAGUUGAUCAGACUAUAAAUUCGGGCAGAUAGAGAUCGAGCUCCGGGCUGAAGCAGAGGUCCUGCGCAGGAGACUUGCCCGUAAGGAUUCUGACCUACGCGGCCUCUUGGAGGUCCUGCGCCGUUUGAGGGAGUUUGACUUCUACGCGAUUGAUGGCAUACACUUCAAUGAAGUUACCGAGUCUGAUAUAUUUGGAUCUGCGUUAUGGAAAAAGUCUAAACUGGAACAGGGUGAUGUCCAAAGCGACAACGUAACGCAAAAAUCGAAGAGAGAAAGAAAAUUUUAUAAAUUAU
rnacentral:misc_RNA from 1 species